GCGUGACAUCAUGAGGGGGUGGAGCAAUGAUGUCACGUACUGAUGGCCCCUGUGUGGUGGCCCAGUACGGGAGAUGUUGCCCCAUGCCCUUGCUGCCCUGUCAGGCAGGCUCCUUCAGUGUCCCCAGGGCCCCUUGCACCUGUUUCCCCCCUGUACAUAUGUUCUGCAGUGUAUUGUAUUAUAAAAUGUGUUGUAUCUUUAAGAGUUAUGUCAUGUGAUUGUUAGCCAGGAGGUACUGUAUCAGUGACCAGGUGACCCCAAGAGUGACCUAAGGGCUCCCUGCUAGUCUCCCCCCAUAGAAGCCCUGGAUGGAGCUAGUGUGUGUGUGUGUCCAGAGUGUUGGAGACCUCAAAGUCCUGUCCUGCAGCCACCAUCAAGUCAAGUAAGCUAAAGUCACUGCUUUAUGAGUCAAGUCAAGUCAGUCCCUUGGCUAACCUGUAUAGACUUUACCAACUGUCUACCCUCAGUAAAGCUACCAUUAUCCGUAACUUGGCAUCGGAGUCUUUAUUGCCCACAUGCCUAGCCCAGGAUCCAACGGUAUACCUUCGGGUGGUUUUAGACUAAACCACGCCUUGGUGUCACGAAUACAAGGGCUUAAUGCCAUCUGCCCUCAUCACACCUUGCUACCACACCUGUAUCGUGAGCCAUCAGCCACGGAGCAAACCUAGCUCCGUAGAGCUGAUAGCUCGGAGGGCUGCAGCAGGCCCAUCAGCGGGACCCCCGCGAUCAGACAUCUUAUCCCCUAUCCUUGGAUAAGUGAUAAGAUGUCUGGGGGCAGAAUACCCCUUUAAGGACCAGGCCCAUUUUAAUUUUUUACUCCUCCCCUUUCUAAAAAUCAUAAUGCUUUCAAUUUUGCACCUAAAGACCCAUAUGAGGGCUUGUUUUUGCGUCACCAAUUGUACAUUGUAAUGAUAUCAAUCAUUUCAAACCAGAAAAUAUAUAUUUGUGGGUGAAAUUGAAAAAAAAUAAAAAAUGCCAUUUUGUAACUUUUGGGGGCUUCCGUUUCUAGCAGUGCUUUUCGGUAAAAAACGACAACAUAUCUUUAUUCUAUAGGGCCAUACGGCCACUAGGAUACCUAAUUUAUUUAGGUUUUAUUUCAUUCUACUACUUUAAAAAAAUUAUAACUGCAUGCACCAAAAUUUGUAUGUCUAAAAUCUUCUGACCCCAAUAAAUGUAUACAAUUUUUUUUAUUUUUCCGCAUAUGGGGCUAUAUGAGGGCUAAUUUUUGCGCCAUGAUCUGUAGUUUUUAUCCGUACCAUUUUUGUUAUGAUGGGACUUUGAUCGCUUGUGACCAAUAAUGCACAAUUUUUGACUGUCUGGGUAUUUUUUAACGUGUAUGACAUCAACCGUGCGGUUUAACUAACCUUAUAUUAUAAUAGUUUGGAUAUUUAAGCAAACAACGGUACCACAUAUAUCAUCCUAGAGCUACACUGAAAUCUCUACCCACUUCACAAUUUGAUAGUGAGGAUAGUGUCGGACGAAUAUACCAAAAUCAAACGACUGGAAGAAAUGUCCAAAAAGUUUAGAGACAGAGGUUACCCUGAUCAUAUUCUCAAAUCUUGCUCCAAUACAAGGGAUUUAUCCCUCAGAAAAUCUAAUUCCAAUUGUAUUCCGUUCGUACAUACCUUCCUCCCCUAUGCAUACAAAAUACAGGGGAUUAUCCGUAAACACUGGCCCUUACUUCACAGAGCACACCCGAAUGUUCCUGAUUUCAAAGAACCUUUCCUAACUUGUUUUAAAAGACCACCCAAUCUCCGUGAUAGUCUGAUCAGAGCCGACAUUGGUAGCACCAGGGUUUCAAGACAAACUACACUCACUUCACCUAAACAAGGCACAUUUCCAUGCCUUCACUGUGUACAAUGCAACAGCAUUACUAAAGGCAACAAAGUAUACCACCCUCUGUCGGGUAAACCAUAUCCUAUUAAAGGUUUUUUACGUGUGAUUCGUCAUUUGUUGUCUUUCUCAUCAAGUGCCCUUGCGGCCUCGGUUAUGUUAGGGAGACCACCCAGCACACCCGAGACCGUAUUUCCCAACAUAAGUCUACAAUCAGAAGGAAGAACACACUAUUACCUAUUCCCCAUCAUUUUAUCACCGCAGGACACCCCAUUGCGCAGUUACGCUUUCAGGUCCUCGAACAUAUCCCUAAACCACGUAGAGGUGGCAACUGAGUUAGCACCCUCAAAAAAAAAAAAAAAGGCGUAUUGGAUACAUAUAUUGGAUACAUACGCUACAAACUUUGGAAUCCCUUGGCCUCAACAGGGAAUAUGAGAUUGCACAGUUGACAUAGUAUAUAAAUUCUUUUAUGCCAUACCAAUAAACUGAUUACCCUUUUUUUUCAGGCCACUUGAGAUGCUGUGGAGGCCAUUACUAUCUUCCGACCACGAUACCAUCACUAUCCUCUGACCACGGUAUCCUUUUUCAUGUCACGAUUACCAUUGUUCUUUCACCAUAUACAUUCUACCUUCACUACUUUUAUCUUCCCUCUCUACCCUAUUUACAAUUUUCUUACCACUUUCACUUUACUAUUUUGUGCCCGCUCUACCCGUUCUUUUCGUCACUAUUCCAUUACUUAUCCUAAAUUUUCUUUCAUCACUUUACCUUACAUUUCCCUUUACUGUUACUCUAUUCUUACACUUUAUUCUUCACUCAUUUGCCCGCCUGCCCCCCCCUUCUGCCCUUUUCCCCCCCUUUUCCUUCUUUCCUCACUAUUCUCGCUUUUCUCUUCUUAUUCCCUUUCCACUUCCCAACUACAUCACACCAUUUUGAUGUCCAUCCAAAUUACCCUUAUAAUAUUCCCAUAUUACUUCCAUACGCUCCCUAUUCAUUUAUUGAAGCAAUAUUGCAUCCGCAUUACGCCUACUUAUUGCUAUACCUUGUCAGCACAAUAUUGCAUUUAUACUACCCCCUCUCAUUUACUAUGCUAUAAUUCCAUGAGCCAUAUUACACCUAUGCCCAAUUGUCCAUUCAUGCUCGAUCCUGUCCGUUAUCUAUAUCAUCUCACUUUCUCCACUCUAUUACUACACACCUGACACUAUUCUUUUAUUUCUUUGUUAAUCUCUCCCUGUGCAGCACGUUCAUUCUAUGUAUAUCACUCUAUCUUCUCCUCUUUAUCGCUAUCUCUGUGCCUCUCUCGGCAUUUUCCUCUGGUCACAUGAUCCCCCGUGGAGCGCAUACUGCGUUCCACGGGUAUUCUUCCGACCACAUGACUCUCUGUGGAACGCAUCCUGCGUUCCAUGUCUCUUUUUGCACCGUACAUGCGCAUCAAGCAAAUUUUUCUCCUGGCCCCUUUCGAAUGUGGAAUCGACAUACCGGAAGUGGGCUCCCGUCAUGUCCGGUCGGGACGCUAUUUCUAAACGGACCUCUUCACUACUAUCCCUACACCACGCAAUCGCUGUAUCGCAGCACCGGCUUCCUAUCUCCUGGCUAUAGGCCAUACUACUCCUGCCUCCGCAGCAUUCUACAGAUAUCUGAUGAAGAUCCAGUGUUUGGAUCGAAACGUCAUAUAUAUUUUCUGUUAGACUGCUACAUUGUGGAAUAAAAACUAAAAUUCUGAUUAACAAGAGUGCCGAAUUUAUUUUCACAAUAGUAAUCAGGAUCCACCAGGUAUGAAGCGUGCUCAGCUCGUGAGCACACUUUAAGCGUCGGUAAUGGGACGAGGGCGUACAGGUACGCCCCUUGGUCAUUAAGAGGUUAAACAUACAACCCACUGAUCACCUGCCACUUUUUGGCCAUAGUAUGGCCAUGUUUACAUGGCAGAAUUUCCAAGGAGAAUUCAGCGGAAAUAUUCUGCUCAGAGAUUUUACUGCAGCAGAGUCCCAUUGAUUUGAAUGGGAUUCUGCUGCACCAUGCACACGGUGGAAAUAUCUGCCGUGGAAAUCCUGAUUUCAGCGUCCACAGAAACAAUGAACCUGUUUAAUAUUUCUGCGGAUUGCGCUCGGAAAUGCAUUGCUGUCUUUGGAGAUGGCUCAUUUCUAAAUGAUCCUAGCGUUGGCGAAACAUGCCGAUUUCACGCCAUGAAUCAGGCCUUAAAUCUCACUUGUAGCAUGUCUUUUCAGUGCGAAGAUUUAU